GCCAGCAUGCCAGAAUCCGGUUAAAUGGGGUCGCCUCGAAAGCGACUGAGUUUCGGCUCAUGCAGGUUCAAAUCCUGCUGCUGGCG
rnacentral:tRNA from 1 species